rnacentral:rRNA from 1 species
UACAGAGGGGGGCAAGCGUUGUUCGGAAUUACUGGGCGUAAAGGGCGCGUAGGCGGCCUGUUAAGUCAGACGUGAAAUCCCUCGGCUCAACCGGGGAACUGCGUCUGAUACUGGCGGGCUUGAUUCGGGAGAGGGAUGUGGAAUUCCAGGUGUAGCGGUGAAAUGCGUAGAUAUCUGGAGGAACACCGGUGGCGAAGGCGGCAUCCUGGACCGACAUUGACGCUGAGGCGCGAAAGCCAGGGGAGCAAACGGG